GACGAACGCUGGCGGCGUGCCUAAUACAUGCAAGUAGAACGCUGAAGGAGGAGCUUGCUUCUCCGGAUGAGUUGCGAACGGGUGAGUAACGCGUAGGUAACCUGCCUGGUAGCGGGGGAUAACUAUUGGAAACGAUAGCUAAUACCGCAUAACAGUAGAUAUCGCAUGAUAUCUGCUUGAAAGGUGCAAUUGCAUCACUACCAGAUGGACCUGCGUUGUAUUAGCUAGUUGGUGAGGUAACGGCUCACCAAGGCGACGAUACAUAGCCGACCUGAGAGGGGGAUCGGCCACACUGGGACUGAGACACGGCCCAGACUCCUACGGGAGGCAGCAGUAGGGAAUCUUCGGCAAUGGACGGAAGUCUGACCGAGCAACGCCGCGUGAGUGAAGAAGGUUUUCGGAUCGUAAAGCUCUGUUGUAAGAGAAGAACGAGUGUGAGAGUGGAAAGUUCACACUGUGACGGUAUCUUACCAGAAAGGGACGGCUAACUACGUG
rnacentral:rRNA from 1 species